rnacentral:rRNA from 1 species
GAUGAACGCUAGCUACAGGCUUAACACAUGCAAGUCGAGGGGCAGCGCAGUGUAGCAAUACAUGGGCGGCGACCGGCGCACGGGUGCGUAACGCGUAUCCAACCUUCCCGUUACUCAGGGAUAGCCUUCCGAAAGGGAGAUUAAUACCUGAUGGUGUUGAAAUUCCGCAUGUUAUUUCAACUAAAGAUUUAUCGGUAACGGAUGGGGAUGCGUGACAUUAGGUAGAUGGCGGGGUAACGGCCCACCAUGCCCACGAUGUCUAGGGGUUCUGAGAGGAAGGUCCCCCACACUGGAACUGAGACACGGUCCAGACUCCUACGGGAGGCAGCAGUGAGGAAUAUUGGUCAAUGGUCGGAAGACUGAACCAGCCAAGUAGCGUGAAGGAUGAAGGUUCUAUGGAUUGUAAACUUCUUUUAUACGGGAAUAAAACCACCUACGUGUAGGUGCUUGUAUGUACCGUAUGAAUAAGCAUCGGCUAAACUCCGUGCCAGCAGCC